GAUGAACGCUAGCUACAGGCUUAACACAUGCAAGUCGAGGGGAAACGAUAUUGGAAGCUUGCUUCCGAUAGGCGUCGACCGGCGCACGGGUGAGUAACGCGUAUCCAACCUGCCCGUCACUUGGGAAUAACCUUGCGAAAGUAAGACUAAUGCCCAAUGACAUUUAUAGAAGGCAUCUGAAAUGAAUUAAAGAUUUAUCGGUGAUGGAUGGGGAUGCGUCUGAUUAGCUUGUUGGCGGGGUAACGGCCCACCAAGGCGACGAUCAGUAGGGGUUCUGAGAGGAAGGUCCCCCACAUUGGAACUGAGACACGGUCCAAAACUCCUACGGGAGGCAGCAGUGGGGAAUAUUGGUCAAUGGGCGAGAGCCUGAACCAGCCAAGUAGCGUGCAGGAAGACGGCCCUAUGGGUUGUAAACUGCUUUUAUAGGGGAAUAAAGUGAGCCACGUGUGGCUUUUUGCAUGUACCCUAUGAAUAAGGACCGGCUAAUUCCGUG
rnacentral:rRNA from 1 species